UACGUAGGGGGCUAGCGUUGUCCGGAAUCAUUGGGCGUAAAGAGCGUGUAGGCGGCCCGGUAAGUCCGCUGUGAAAGUCGGGGGCUCAACCCUCGAAAGCCGGUGGAUACUGUCGGGCUAGAGUGCGGAAGAGGCGAGUGGAAUUCCUGGUGUAGCGGUGAAAUGCGCAGAUAUCGGGAAGAACACCCGUGGCGAAGGCGGCUCUCUGGGACGGUACUGACGCUGAGACGCGAAAGCGUGGGGAGCGAACAGG
rnacentral:rRNA from 1 species